rnacentral:lncRNA from 1 species
GAGACUAGAGCUGUGUUAGUGAGCAGGUUGGACGCUCUAACGUCACUCUGCUGUUUUCACACUGUGAGCUGGUGACAGACGCACACAGACGCAGCUGAAAAGGCUCUGAGCUGAUGUGAGGUGAGGAAUCAGUGAGUGUCUGAUGAGCAGCUUCACUCUGAUCACACACUGACUCAACCAUGUGGAUCCACUGCUGUCAAACAUCUGCUGCUGCCACGACAUUAAGUGUAAGCUGGCUGACACGUUACACGCUGUCAGUGAGACACUUCUGAGGAAGGAGAGAGACAUCACAGAAAGUGUCAAACAAAGCUCAUCAUCUCAUGACGUGGAGAUGGAUCA